rnacentral:tRNA from 1 species
GGUUCCAUAGUGUAGUGGUUAGCACAUUGCUUUACACGCAGACGGUCCUGGGUUAGUGCCCCAGUGGAGACA